rnacentral:lncRNA from 7 species
CUUUUUUAUUGGGUCAUUGCUAUAACUAUAUGGUAUCAUUGACUAAAAUUAUGAUUUAUAGAGCUGCAAGUGAAAGGACAAUAAGCAUUUCUGCAAUUUACUAUUUAAAAAAACAUUUAAAACUUCAUCUAUCAGCAAGACAAUUCUAUAACGAAUUUGUGCUCUUGUAUAUGCAUGCAAGUCAUGCAAAGUUUAGAUGAGGCCACAUGAGAUGAUGUGCAAAAUCAAUAUUGGGCUAACUUACAACUGCAGAUAAAAUACAUUAGGGAACAGAUGACCAAAAUUGGCUGCAAUUAGGGAAAAGACUGUCAUGUUUUUUUUCUGUGAUAUGAUUUACUGAUUGGUGAAAUGACUUUCUUCUUUCACUGUGAAUGGUUCAGGGUUAGAUGCAGAACUUCUAUUGCAGUUUGUGUCUAAACUAGGUGAUUAUUUAGAAAUUUUUAUUUUAUUAUCAUUCAUCUAUGAACAGUUUGGAAAGACUGCCAAAAUAGCAGUACAUUAGUUAAUAUACUGAAAAUAAAUUACUCUGUGGAAGUAGAUAUUCUAUGUCAGAAUAUUUGUUAUUAAACUUUUAAAUCAAAUGGCAUCCUAGUUAGAGAGCGGUAGAAAUUUUUCACGGGAAUCCACCAUCAGUGCCAAAAACAAUUAGCAAACACUACCUUUUGUAAUUACUUUGCUUCCACGUUUUGUGCCUUUAUCCAGAAUUUGUCCUUGUGAGACUUCCUAGGAACGUGCUUCCAAACAGAAGACAGUUUUAUGUGUGCUUGUAUGCGUGUUGGGAUGAAUGAGGAGUAGAGGAUAGAGAAGAGCAAAAAUAGAUGAGAUCUGUAUGGCUAGAGAAUGCUAAAGGAUCUCAUAUCCAUUUUUGUACUGUAAAUACUGCAGUAGACACUGUAAAUAGUUAUCUAUCUGCAAAUUACAUAGUGGAUGGUUCCUUGAAAUCCCUUGUCCUUUGCAACUCUGCCUUGUUUGUAAGCUCUAAUCAUUUGUUAUGGGAGCAGCUGUCAUGACUGCUGUAAGGUAGGAAAAUCUGCAAAACAAACGGUGCUAUCUUAUGCUCUUGUGAACUUCAGCUCAGCUUCUACCUCCCCAGUCAGCACAGAACUCUUUAAAGAUGGAGGGUAGUACCAGUCCAACUUUGGAUAAGAGAGAAAUUUCUGCUGAUAUUGAUGUAGU